CUGGCGUGUUCAGCCACGCUCCUGAAGGCGAGAAUCUUCAGUGGUGAGAAAGGUCCUCGGGCACACACGGGCGUUGCUCCCUGCGAUGGGCAGUAGGUAGAUGCGGUGGGAGUGCAGCGUUCUCAUCAAAGACAUGCGUGUGCACCCUCACACACACAACAAUGUCACCAACAGAGCUGGACUCUCCCGGAAGGUAGGUGACUUUGCUGCCCCAUGGAAAUGGCUUCAGGAGUUUAAACCCAUUUCUGAGCCUGGGCCUAGGACAUAGGACUCUGUUCCAACCAGUCCUUACCCAGGAAGAUGGAGGUGGGAGCGCGGGUCGGGGCAGACGACACCCUUCUGUCCUUCACACCAGCCUCCCCGAGCCGCUGUCGGGCUGUCAUCUCCAACAGUCCACACCCUGCCCCACAGCUGCCCGCCUGGCGGGUGUGCCUCCCUAUCCCCAGCCUGGCCCCGGUCAGGUCAGCCGUCUCUCGUGUGUUUCUCACCCCACCUGCCCACGAUGACUCCCUUGCGGCCUCGAGGAAUGAACACCCUGGAGACCCCAAGGGCAAUUUCACGCUUGCAAAGCCGGCUUGGCUUUCAGCAACAGAGAAAUUCCAGUCAGGAGCCAAUCCUCCGAUUGAAAGGGCCGGCUCAGCGGGCCUGAUGACCUGGGGCCACAGAAGGGGGUCCUGUGGACCACCAGGGAGCAGACAGUGGGCCGAGCGCCUGCUCCAGCUUCCAGGAGGGGUUAGGCCACAGCGAGCAUCAGUCUACUGGGAGAGCUUGGAACCUUCCGGAAGAUGGGCGCUGGACGGAACCCUGGAGAGCAUCUAAAGACAGCAGCAACACAAUUACAGCCACCACAACGGGGUGGCCACGAGGCCCGCAGAGGAACACCGACUGCUAAAAGGCAUGUGGUGAGUUAGCCAGACUCACUUCCAGGGCUGGGAGAAGCACCAACACCCAAGUCAUUCCAGAAGGCUGCUCCCCGAGGCCUCACCCAGGUGGCGAGGAGGCGAAUGACCCCUCCUGCUAAACAGGCCGCGGACCUGCUCUGUUCCCUAACGUCGCGAUCUCGUUAGCCGGCCAUCUGACGGGGACACUAGUCUGUUCUCACAGAAUCACAGCAAAUUACGGCGCUCACUGCGUCCCGGCUGCCGAGUGACGUUCAUUUAGUCACACUACAACCCUGCAAGCACAUUUCUGCGACCUUGUGGAGGACUCAUUUGCAGACAACGCUGGGCCCUUCAAGGAGCGGCCGCCACCACCCGUGAUGGGCUCUGCCCAGCCCAAGCCCAGGCGGGGAGGAAAACCUGCUGGGGUUCAGAGAGGGCUCUGCCUCCCCGCUUCUCCAGGCCCCACUGUCCCUCAGCACAGUGGCCCCAGGUCACAGCGCCCUUGGAAGCCCAGCUGGGUGACGGGCAUGGCGGGAGGAGGCUGCAGGCCCUUUGGGAAGAAAGUACCUUCCUGCCACCUGUCCUGAGAGCCGUGACAAGGGUGGCCGUGGUCCCCACCACAACCUCACUACAUCUGAG
rnacentral:lncRNA from 1 species